CCUACGGGUGGCAGCAGUGGGGAAUAUUGCACAAUGGGGGAAACCCUGAUGCAGCGACGCCGCGUGAGUGAAGAAGUAUUUCGGUAUGUAAAGCUCUAUCAGCAGGGAAGAAAAUGACGAUACCUGACUAAGAAGCCCCGGCUAACUACGUGCCAGCAGCCGCGGGAAUACGUAGGGGGCAAGCGUUAUCCGGAUUUACUGGGUGUAAGGGGAGCGUAGGCGGCAAGGUAAGCCAGGAGUGAAAGCCCGCGGCUCAACUGCGGGACUGCUUUUGGAACUAUCUAGCUAGAUUGCAGGUGAGGUACGUGGAAUACCGAGUGUAGCGGUGAAAUGCGUAGAUAUCAGGAAGAACUCC
rnacentral:rRNA from 1 species